GAUGAAUGCUGGCGGCGUGCCUAAUACAUGCAAGUCGAGCGAAUGGAUUAAGAGCUUGCUCUUAUGAAGUUAGCGGCGGACGGGUGAGUAACACGUGGGUAACCUGCCCAUAAGACUGGGAUAACUCCGGGAAACCGGGGCUAAUACCGGAUAACAUUUUGAACCGCAUGGUUCGAAAUUGAAAGGCGGCUUCCGCUGUCACUUAUGGAUGGACCCGCGUCGCAUUAGCUAGUUGGUGAGGUAACGGCUCACCAAGGCAACGAUGCGUAGCCGACCUGAGAGGGUGAUCGGCCACACUGGGACUGAGACACGGCCCAGACUCCUACGGGGGGCAGCAGUAGGGAAUCUUCCGCAAUGGACGAAAGUCUGACGGAGCAACGCCGCGUGAGUGAUGAAGGCUUUCGGGUCGUAAAACUCUGUUGUUAGGGAAGAACAAGUGCUAGUUGAAUAAGCUGACACCUUGACGGUACCUAACCAGAAAGCCACGGCUAACUACGUGCCAGCCGCCGCAGUAA
rnacentral:rRNA from 1 species